rnacentral:rRNA from 1 species
AUAUCAGUCAUGCAUAGCAUAUCAAUAAGCGGAGGAAAAGAAACUAACAAGGAUUCCCUUAGUAACGGCGAGUGAAGCGGGAAGAGCUCAAAUUUGAAAUCUUCAAGGUUUUACCUUGACGAAUUGUAGUUUAAAGAAGUGUUUUCUGUUGAAGUUUUGGUAAAAGUUCUUUGGAAUAGGACAUCAUAGAGGGUGAGAAUCCCGUAUUUGACCAUUACUUUCAGCUUUGUGAUACACUUUCAAAGAGUCGGAUUGUUUGGGAAUGCAGUCCAAAAUGGGUGGUAAAUUUCAUCUAAAGCUAAAUAUUGGCGAGAGACCGAUAGCGAACAAGUACCGUGAGGGAAAGAUGAAAAGAACUUUGAAAAGAGAGUUAAACAGUACGUGAAAUUGUCAAAAGGGAAGCGUUUGACACCAGUGUUGUUUUCUCGAAAAUCAAUUAAAAAGAGUUGGAUUUUGUGUUGUAUUGACUUUAUCAGGCUUUCUUCACUCUUUUCCAGCUUUUUUUAGUGCACUUUUCGUUUAACAAGUCAACAUCAGUUUCUUUUGUUGUAAAAAGGUCAUUGGAAGGUGGCUUUCUCUUCGGAGAAAGUGUUUAUAGCCUUUGACUCAUGCAAUCGGAGAGACUGAGGUCUGCAGCGUAGAUCCUUCGGGGUUAGAUACAUUUGUGCUAAGUUAUAGCUUUUCAUAGACAACUUGUUGACUAUGUUUAGUCUUGUAGCUUACUCGCUUAUGCUAUUUUACCUACGCUUAGGAUGUUGAACUCUAUCACACACAG